ensembl:lncRNA
UAAGACCUAGACAACCAGGUGAGGGGAGUUCCUUACUAAAGACCUAGACAACCAGGUGAGGGGAGCUCCUUACUAAAGACCUAGACAACCAGGUGAGGGGAGUUCCUUACUGAGACCUGGACAACCAGGUGAGUAGAGUUCCUUACUGAGACAACCAGGUGAGGGGGGUUCCUUACUAAUCAGUGACGUUAAUUCCUCAAUCAAGUACAAGGUAGGAGCGGUUAAAAACGCAGCCACUUGGCCCUCCGUGGAAUCAGUUUGACACCUGUGCCCUACCUAGAUGGUCAUGCAAUGCACCAAGCCGCAUUCCCGCGGGUCGACCCACCCUAGUUGGGGCCACCACCAUUUCACCUCCUAAUGACAAAGCUAUGCCACGGUAGAGACGAGCGGUGAGGUAGACCUGCUCAUGUAGGAACCAGUAAACAUACAGCUUAUGUUAUCUAACUUACCCCCCUUAUAGCACAUACCACUGUUUAGGUCAGCUCGUUAGCUUGGUAUAGCCAAUUGUAGGGAUUUCAGGGGUUAGCCCCAACCCGGGAUUCAAGCACAGGUCCAACGACUGUCAACCCAACACCGUUACGCCAAGAGAUGGUAGAACGUUGAAGAGGCUGCUAAGCGUUGGUUGCUACAAUAUCCAUAGUAACUCUAGCCGAGUAGCUGACCUCAUAUCUACGGUAACUCUAGCCAAGUAGCUGACCUCCAAUAUCUACAGUAACUCUAGCCAAAUAGCUGACCUCAAUAUCUACAGUUACUCUAGCCAAGUAGCUGACCUCCAAUAUCUACAGUAACUCUAGUCAAUAGCUGACCUCAUCUGGGUUUGUGUCAUGACAGUAGGCAAUUAAGUCAGUGGUCGUAGUCAUAACUAGUCAUGUGUGUCUAUAAGACCUGUUAUUGUUAUGAUAGCGCUAUAUAGACCGGAUUAUAAGAGGGUUGGUGUUAGGGUUGCACAAUUCCAAUAACUUUUCCUGUGUUUUCCAGAAAUCCUGGUUGGAAAUAUGAGGUAUAAUCAGGAAAUCGGGGAAUCCUCCCAACUAGGAUUUCAGGGAAAGUAAAUCAUACUGCUAACCCAGUCCAACUGAGUAGGAUGGGGUUGAAGUUGACUAGAGAAUGAUCUGAAGUCAGUUUGGUCUUCCUCCCGAAUGGUUAAAGUUUUGACUUGUCUCUAGGCAGACGAGUUGCCUCCCACAUUAACAGUGUUGCCUCAGGUCUGGGAUUUCCGAGACUUACAGUUUUGUUUGAUAGAGAGGAAUCUGAUCCUAGAUCUGUGGUUAAGGGCAACUUCUACCUCAGGCUCUCAGUACGGACAGACAGGACCCCUAAAGCUGCAUGCUGUCGCAGACUAAAGCACUUCUUCCCUCUGCUUUUACCUGACAAAAAUGAAUAAAACAUAUAUAUAUA